GACGAACGCUGGCGGCGUGCUUAACACAUGCAAGUCGAACGGUGAAGCGCCUUCCCUUUUGGUGGGUGUGGAUGAGUGGCGAACGGGUGAGUAACACGUGAGUAACCUGCCCCCUUCUUCUGGAUAACCGCAUGAAAGUGUGGCUAAUACGGGAUAUUCUGGGUCUGUCGCAUGAUGGGUCUGGGAAAGAUAUUGUUUCGGUGGGGGAUGGGCUCGCGGCCUAUCAGCUUGUUGGUGGGGUGAUGGCCUACCAAGGCGGUGACGGGUAGCCGGCCUGAGAGGGUGGACGGUCACACUGGGACUGAGACACGGCCCAGACUCCUACGGGAGGCAGCAGUGGGGAAUAUGGCACAAUGGGCGCAAGCCUGAUGCAGCGACGCCGCGUGAGGGAUGGAGGCCUUCGGGUUGUGAACCUCUUUCGCCAGUGAAGCAGGCCUGCCUCGUUUGUGGGUGGGUUGACGGUAGCUGGAUAAGAAGCGCCGGCUAACUACGUG
rnacentral:rRNA from 1 species